CUGGCGGCUGUUUCCGGGCUUAGAGGGCUGGAGUGGCCGCCGAGUUGGAGGCGGUGGUGGCAGCAGUAGGAGUGUGUAGAGUGCGGGAUUGGGGCCCAGGCCCUGCGGAGGGCGGGGGAAGUUGUCUUCUUUUUUUUCCGGAGGGGCCGGUAAACCUGGUGGCUGAACGGCAAGAUGAAUUUCCUCCGCGGGGUAAUGGGGGGUCAGAGUGCCGGACCCCAGCACACAGAAGCCGAGACGAGUUUCACUCUUGUUGCCCAGGCUAGAGUGCAAUGGUGC
rnacentral:lncRNA from 1 species